ACGUGGGUAAUUUGCCGUGAAGUUUGGGAUAACUUGCUGAAAGGCGAGCUAAUACCGGAUGUGAAUUCUUGAAGGCAUCUUUAGGAAUUCAAAGUUGGGGACCGCAAGGCCUGACGCUUUACGAUAAGCCCGCGGCCUAUCAGCUAGUUGGUGAGGUAACGGCUCACCAAGGCUAAGACGGGUAGCUGGUCUGAGAGGACGACCAGCCUCACUGGAACUGAGACACGGUCCAGACACCUACGGGUGGCAGCAGUCGAGAAUUUUUCUCAAUGGGCGAAAGCCUGAAGGAGCGACGCCGCGUGGGGGAUGAAUGGCUUCGGCCCGUAAACCCCUGUCAUUUGUGAACAAAUUGCUUCACCUAACACGUGAAGCAUUGAUUGUAACGGAAGAGGAAGGGACGGCUAACUCUGUGCCAGCAGCCGCGGUAAUACAGAGGUCCCAAGCGUUGUUCGGAUUCACUGGGCGUAAAGGGUGCGUAGGCGGUUUGAUAAGUCUGAUGUGAAAUCCCGCAGCUUAACUGCGGAACUGCAUUGGAAACUAUUUGACUAGAGGAAUGGAGGGGAGACUGGAAUACUUGGUGUAGCAGUGAAAUGCGUAGAUAUCAAGUGGAACACCAGUGGCGAAGGCGAGUCUCUGGACAUUUCCUGACGCUGAGGCACGAAAGCCAGGGGAGCAAACGGGAUUAGAUACCCUGGUAGUCC
rnacentral:rRNA from 1 species